AAAUUGAAGAGUUUGAUCAUGGCUCAGAUUGAACGCUGGCGGCAGGCCUAACACAUGCAAGUCGAACGGUAACAGGGAAACAG
rnacentral:rRNA from 1 species